ACAGCCGCCCAUGUAGAGUCUUGUGUGUCUGUGCCCCAUCUCAGCAGGGGGGGCCGGCCCGGUGGUGGAGGUGGAGCUCGGGGAGACGGCCAGGAUCAAAUGCAACGUCUCUUCCCCUGGAGAGAGCAACUACGACGAAAUCAACUGGUUCUACAUCGACAGACAAAUCCCGAAACGAGUCUUCCAGGAGGACACGGAGUACAAGGGCCGGGUGGAGAUGGAGGACUUUACCCUGGUCAUCAGGAGGGUGACGCUGCAGGACACCAGGACCUUCAAGUGCCAGGUGAAGGCGGGCAGCUCGGUAGUGGCCGAGAUGCAGACCCAGCUCCACGUUUACAAAACCCCGGAGCCUCCAGAGAUUCAGGUGAACGACGCAGGCAUCUCUGUGACGAGUCACGAGCUU